rnacentral:rRNA from 1 species
AACCUCGUAAUUGGACUUCUGGUCGAAGGACCGGUCCGUACCUUCUGUGUUUUUCCCCUGCGCUUCUGCCAUAUUCAUAAAGAUUAUGCCGGUCAUUAAUUUGUUGGACCCUGAUUUGCUGCAUUUGCUGCGAUAUAAAUACAGUGUUCAAAGCGAGGUUACGCGCUGAAUAUCUUAGCGUGGAAUAGUAAGAUAAGACCUUGGUCUAUUUUGAUGGUUAGCAUUCCGAGGUUUUGAUUAAUACGGAUAGUUGGGGGUAUUCCUAUUCCCUUGUCACAAGUGAAAUUCUUGGAUUUAUCCAAAACUAUCUAAUGCCAAAGCUUUUUGCAAGGAUGUUUUCAUUACUCAAGAACGAAAGUUAGGGGAUCGAAAACGAUUACAUGCCAUCGCACCCUUAUCCAUUCACUAUACCGACUAAGGAUUAUGGGAAAGUAUUCCACCUUCAUUAGCACCUUAUGAGAAAUCCCAGUCUUUGGGUUCCUCGUGGAGUAUGGUCGCAACUAGACCGGGCUUUCCUAUUGACGGAAUGGGAAUGACACCACUGGAGCCUGCUUCUUAAUUUAACUCUGCACGGGGAAACUUACCCUAUCCCGAGAUAUGGAGGAUUGCCCCAUUGAGAGCUCUUUCUUGAUUCUAUGGCUGGUGGUGCAUGGGCCCUCUUAUUUGUUGGAGUGAUUUGUCUGGUUAAUUCCGUUUCCCCCCGGAACCCCCGCCUGCUAAUUUCUUGUGAUUAUGCUUAGUAUACUUAGCACCUUCUUAUAGGGACUUUCC